rnacentral:rRNA from 1 species
CCUACGGGAGGCAGCAGUGGGGAAUUUUGGACAAUGGGCGAAAGCCUGAUCCAGCAAUGCCGCGUGAGUGAAGAAGGCCUUCGGGUUGUAAAGCUCUUUUGUCAGGGAAGAAACGGUGAGGGCUAAUAUCCCUUGCUAAUGACGGUACCUGAAGAAUAAGCACCGGCUAACUACGUGCCAGCAGCCGCGGUAAUACGUAGGGUGCAAGCGUUAAUCGGAAUUACUGGGCGUAAAGCGUGCGCAGGCGGUUUUGUAAGUCUGUCGUGAAAUCCCCGGGCUCAACCUGGGAAUUGCGAUGGAGACUGCAAGGCUAGAAUCUGGCAGAGGGGGGUAGAAUUCCACGUGUAGCAGUGAAAUGCGUAGAGAUGUGGAGGAACACCGAUGGCGAAGGCAGCCCCCUGGGUCAAGAUUGACGCUCAUGCACGAAAGCGUGGGGAGCAAACAGGAUUAGAUACCCUGGUAGUCCACGCCCUAAACGAUGUCUACUAGUUGUCGGGUUUUAAUUAACUUGGUAACGCAGCUAACGCGUGAAGUAGACCGCCUGGGGAGUACGGUCGCAAGAUUAAAACUUAAUGAAUUGACGG